UCUAGAACUCACGAUAUGGACUAAACACUAAAUUAUGUCUGGGCUGCAGGACAGAUUCAAACUUCUCUUUUGAUGCUAAGAUUUGGACUCCAAAACGGCAGAAUUGAGUCUUGAACUCUUCAUGAAUAUCUUAGGACUAUUUCUCAACUUUCCAGC
rfam:Populus trichocarpa isolate Nisqually-1 chromosome 19, whole genome shotgun sequence.